AUCACUUCUGGCCUAUGGCUCAUAUCAAGUGUAGUUUCUGUUCUUAUCAGUUUAAUAUCUGGUAGGCCUUUUAUAAGGAGGCCACAUAUUUGCCAGCAGGCAUAUCACCCUGCAACUCACAACUGGCAACCCACU
ensembl:snRNA U2 U2 spliceosomal RNA